GUGCACGCCCGUCACCUUUAUCUUUCCACCUGUGCACACACUGUAGAUCUGGAUACCUCUCGUCGAAAGGCGGAUGCGAGGCUUGCUGUGCCCCCUAGGGGUCGGCUUGCUUCGAAUUUCCAGGUCUAUGAACCCCUUUACAUACCCCAAACGAAUGUUAAGGAAUGUAAUCAUAAGGCCCUAGUGCCUAUAAACCUAUACAACUUUCAGCAACGGAUCUCUUGGCUCUCGCAUCGAUGAAGAACGCAGCGAAAUGCGAUAAGUAAUGUGAAUUGCAGAAUUCAGUGAAUCAUCGAAUCUUUGAACGCACCUUGCGCUCCUUGGUAUUCCGAGGAGCAUGCCUGUUUGAGUGUCAUUAAAUUCUCAACCUCACCAACUUUUGUUGUGUGAAGGCUUGGAUUUGGAGGCGUGCAGGUCCACACUUUUAGUGGUCUGCUCCUCUGAAAUGUAUUAGUGGGUUAGGCCCUCUAAUCUAUUGGUGUGAUAAUUAUCUACGCCGUGGAUUUGGGAAGCUACAUCAGACCUGCUUCUAACCGUCCUCACGGGGACAACACUUGACAAUUUUGACCUCAAAUCAGGUAAGACUACCCGCUGAACUUA
rnacentral:rRNA from 1 species